rnacentral:rRNA from 1 species
GGAUUAGGCAUGCAAGUCGAGCGAUCCCGCAAGGGAUAGCGGCAAAAGGGUGAGUAACACGUGGGUUACCUACCUCCGAGACUGGGAUAACACCGCGAAAGCGAUGCUAAUACCGGAUAAGACCACAACCUCGUCAGAGGAUGUGGGAAAAGGCAGGGAUCUCCGCAAGGGGACCUGUCGUUUGGAGAUGCGCCCGCGUCCCAUCAGCUAGUUGGUAAGGUAACGGCUUACCAAGGCAUUGACGGGUAGCCGGCCUGAGAGGGUGGUCGGCCACAUUGGGACUGAGACACUGCCCAAACUCCUACGGGAGGCUGCAGUCGAGGAUAUUUCGCAAUGCCCGAAAGG